rnacentral:rRNA from 1 species
AAUCAACGCUGGCGGCGUGCCUCAGACAUGCAAGUCGAACGAUUAAACUUUCCUUCGGGAAAGAUAUAAAGUGGCGCACGGGUGAGUAACACGUAGGUAAUGUACCUUUGGGUGGGAAUAACCAUCGGAAACGAUGGCUAAUACCGCAUAAUGCAGCGGCAUCGCAAGAUGACAGUUGUUAAAGAUUUAUCGCCUAAAGAGCAGCCUGCGGCAGAUUAGGUAGNGGUAAGGUAAUGGCUUACCAAGCCUGCGAUCUGUAACCGACCUGAGAGGGUGGUCGGUCACACUGACACUGAAUAACGGGUCAGACUCCUACGGGAGCAGCAGUCGGGAAUUUUGGGCAAUGGGCGAAAGCCUGACCCAGCAACGCCGCGUGAAGGACGAA